GUUCGGGGCUCAGCGGUAGAGCACUCGUCUAGCAUGCGUGAGGCACUGGGUUCCAUCCUCAGCACCACA
rnacentral:tRNA from 1 species